GUGUCAGCAGCCGCGGUAAUACGUAGGGUGCGAGCGUUAAUCGGAAUUACUGGGCGUAAAGCGUGCGCAGGCGGUGAUGUAAGACCGAUGUGAAAUCCCCGGGCUUAACCUGGGAACUGCAUUGGUGACUGCAUCGCUCGAGUAUGGCAGAGGGGGGUAGAAUUCCACGUGUAGCAGUGAAAUGCGUAGAGAUGUGGAGGAAUACCGAUGGCGAAGGCAGCCCCCUGGGUCAAUACUGACGCUCAUGCACGAAAGCGUGGGGAGCAAACAGGAUUAGAAACCCGAGUAGUCC
rnacentral:rRNA from 1 species